GCCAAUGUAAGCAGCAUUGGCAAUCAGUUCAUCAUGGUACUUUCCCUUAAAGCAAGACAUGAUAAAUGAUAAUUCUUUGUUUUGAGAAAUAGAGAAGAAAGAAAUGAAAAUAUUACUGAAUAUAAAAGGGAAGAAAGCUAACUACAGGAGAAAGAGGAUGAGGUCACAAGAAAAGCUAUCCAACGAUUAUGGCGGAUUUGCAACUUCUUGGUCACG
rnacentral:misc_RNA from 1 species